rnacentral:tRNA from 1 species
CGAUCGGUAGACGAUACGGAGAAAAUCCGUUGGCUUUAUUGACCGUGAGGGUUCAAGUCCCUCUACCCCCA